rnacentral:tRNA from 1 species
GCUCCUUUAGCUCUCUGGUGAAAGCACUCCGCUCAUAACGGAAGAAAGGUCAGUUCGAUCCUGACAAGGAGCA